AAGUCGUAACAAGGUUUCCGUAGGUAUGUUAUCAUCCAACCCCUGUUAUCCUUGAAGUCAUUAUACUAACGUACAUUUUAGGUGAACCUGCGGAAGGAUCAUUUACUGAGUUAGGGUCUUUACGGCCCGACCUCCAACCCUUUGUUUAACAAUACCAUGUUGCUUCGGCGGGCCCGUCCUCUUUAGGACCGCCGGAGGGUCUUAUCCCCCUCUGGCCCGUUGCCUGUCGAUAGCCAUCAAACCAAAAUUUCUUGAUAAACCAUGUCGUCUGAGUCUCAAUUUAUAAUUAAUUAAAA
rnacentral:misc_RNA from 1 species